UUUCCAAUGGUCCAGUGGUUAGGACUCAGCGCUUUCACUGCUGGGGCCCAGGUUCGACCCCUGGUUGGGGAA